rnacentral:rRNA from 1 species
GUCCGGCCGUAAACUUUAACUUACAUACCCAUCGCCUGGGAACUACGAGCCAAGCUUAAAACCCAAGGGACUUGACGGUACCCCACAUCCCCCUAGAGGAGCCUGUCCUAUAAUCGAUAACCCCCGCUUUACCUCACCAUUUUUAGUUAAUCAGCCUGUAUACCUCCGUCGUCAGCUUACCACGUGAGUGAAUUAUAGUGAGCUUAAUGACACUCAGCCAACACGUCAGGUCAAGGUGCAGCAAAUAAAAUGGAAAGAGAUGGGCUACACUUUCUAGAAUAGAAAACACAAAAGACUACCUAUGAAACCUAGUCAGAAGGCGGAUUUAGAAGUAAAAAGAAACCAGAAUGUUCUUUUUAACACGGCCCUGAGGUGCGUACACACCGCCCGUCACCCUCCUCAAAGCUAACAAUCAAUACCUAACCCUAAAUACGCGCUACAGAAGAGGCAAGUCGUAACAUGGUAAGUAUACCGGAAGGUGUGCUUGGUUUA